rnacentral:rRNA from 1 species
UAAGCAUAUCAAUAAGCGGAGGAAAAGAAACCAACAGGGAUUGCCCUAGUAACGGCGAGUGAAGCGGCAACAGCUCAAAUUUGAAAUCUGGCUUCGGCCCGAGUUGUAAUUUGCAGAGGAAGCUUUAGGCGCGGCACCUUCUGAGUCCCCUGGAACGGGGCGCCAUAGAGGGUGAGAGCCCCGUAUAGUUGGAUGCCUAGCCUGUGUAAAGCUCCUUCGACGAGUCGAGUAGUUUGGGAAUGCUGCUCAAAAUGGGAGGUAAAUUUCUUCUAAAGCUAAAUACCGGCCAGAGACCGAUAGCGCACAAGUAGAGUGAUCGAAAGAUGAAAAGCACUUUGAAAAGAGGGUUAAAUAGCACGUGAAAUUGUUGAAAGGGAAGCGCUUGUGACCAGACUUGCGCCGGGCUGAUCAUCCGGUGUUCUCACCGGUGCACUCUGCCCGGCUCAGGCCAGCAUCGGUUCUCGCGGGGGGAUAAAGGUUCCGGGAAUGUAGCUCCUCCGGGAGUGUUAUAGCCCGGGGCGUAAUGCCCUCGCGGGGACCGAGGUUCGCGCUCUGCAAGGAUGCUGGCGUAAUGGUCAUCAGCGACCCGUCUUGAAACACGGACCAAGGAGUCAAGGUUUUGCGCGAGUGUUUGGGUGUAAAACCCGCACGCGUAAUGAAAGUGAACGUAGGUGAGAGCUUCGGCGCAUCAUCGACCGAUCCUGAUGUUUUCGGAUGGAUUUGAGUAAGAGCGUUAAGCCUUGGACCCGAAAGAUGGUGAACUAUGCUUGGAUAGGGUGAAGCCAGAGGAAACUCUGGUGGAGGCUCGCAGCGGUUCUGACGUGCAAAUCGAUCGUCAAAUCUGAGCAUGGGGGCG